rnacentral:misc_RNA from 1 species
AACGCACAUUGCGCCCGCCAGUAUUCUGGCGGGCAUGCCUGUUCGAGCGUCAUUUCAACCAUCAAGCCCCCGGGCUUGUGUUGGGGACCUGCGGCUGCCGCAGGCCCCGAAAACCAGUGGCGGGCUCGCUGUCACCCCGAGCGUAGUAGUUUACACCUCGCCCAGGGCGUGCCGCGGGUUCCCGGCCGUUAAACCCCCCAAUACCACAAGGUUGACCUCGGAUCAGGUAGGAAUACCCGCUGAACUUAA